GCACUGCAGGGAUGGACUACUCCGGAUGGCUCCACGGCUUUUUGUGCACUCCACUGCAAACUACAAGUGUUAAUGGGUUCAUUGAGUUGGUUCAUUUCAGUUGCCGGUUCGAUUCUCGUGUUUCCAGAUUGUGCAUUUGGUGAAUCCCACCUUCUGACGCAGAAGCUGAGGGAGAGAGCGCGUCAAAGGGAAUCAUCCGUGUCAGGCGUCCCAGCGACUCCUCACCGGCGGCAAGCUCUAAUCAGACCAUCCAUGUAUUCUAUCCUUCAUUCCACCGGAGUCUGUGUAAUGUGCCAAUCAGAUUUCAGUGGUGUGAAGAGUAAGACACAUGGAAUUUGUCAUCUGGAGGAAAAAACCACGUUACCUUCGAAAGCUUUACUUUUGAAAAUAAAGAUGAAUGUUGCUCUGUGAGAAAACGUUUUGGACUCUGCUGUCUUUUCAUGUCAACCUGGUGUUGUUGAAUGCAACAGUUCUACACAAGCACAGAAAGAGGGACUUGUCCUCACCUGCAUUGCGACAGCAGUUGAAAACCGCUGCACUGAUUGCACUUAAGAGUUACUGCAGGAUCACGGAGUGCUGCCAGCCCCACUUUAAGUCUCUUAGGCUGUCACUCAGAGACGUUCUCGUGUCCUCACUCCGUCUUUCUGCCCUUGCCUCGCCGAGACACGGCAACUACAUAAUCACUCCUGAAUUCCCAAGUUUCCAAACCCACUGCAAAUCGUGUUUGUGUCCCUCAAGUCUCCUCGUGUUGCGACUGCACCCAUACAUUCAUAUAUUGUCUGAACUGUAAUGAGUAAUUUUGAAUAAUGAAUUUGUUUUACAUCUUUUCUUCUGUAAAAAUAAAAUGCAGUUUUUAACCAACA